rnacentral:rRNA from 1 species
AUUUUGGGCAAUGGGGGCAACCCUGAUCCAGCAAUGCCGCGUGAGUGAAGAAGGCCUUCGGGUUGUAAAGCUCUUUUGUCAGGGAAGAAACGGUCCGGGCUAAUAUCCUCGGCUAAUGACGGUACCUGAUGAAUAAGUCACGGCUAACUACGUGCCAGCAGCCGCGGUAAUACGUAGGUGACCAGCGUUGUCCGGAUUUACUGGGCGUAAAGAGCGCGCAGGCGGUCGUUCAAGUCGAGUGUGAAAGCCCCCGGCUCAACUGGGGAGGGUCACUCGAUACUGAUCGACUUGAAGGCAGGAGAGGGAAGCGGAAUUCCCGGUGUAGUGGUGAAAUGCGUAGAUAUCGGGAGGAACACCAGUGGCGAAGGCGGCUUCCUGGCCUGUUCUUGACGCUGAGGCGCGAAAGCUAGGGGAGCAAAC